AUUGAACGCUGGCGGAAUGCUUUACACAUGCAAGUCGAGCGGCAGCGCGGGGCAACCUGGCGGCGAGCGGCGAACGGGUGAGUAAUGCAUCGGAACAUGUCCAUUCGUGGGGGAUAGCCCGGCGAAAGCCGGAUUAAUACCGCAUACGCCCUGAGGGGGAAAGCGGGGGACCUCGCAAGAGGCCUCGCGCGAAUGGGUUGGCCGAUGUCCGAUUAGCUAGUUGGUGAGGAAAGGCUCACCAAGGCGAUGAUCGGUAGCUGGUCUGAGAGGAUGAUCAGCCACGACUGGGACUGAGACACGGCCCAGACUCCUACGGGAGGCAGCAGUAGGGAAUCUUGCGCAAUGGGCGAAAGCCUGACGCAGCCAUGCCGCGUGAAUGAUGAAGGUCUUAGGAUUGUAAAAUUCUUUCACCGGGAAGAUAAUGACGGUACCGGAGAAGAAGCCCGGCUAACUUCGUGCCAGCAGCCGCGGUAAC
rnacentral:rRNA from 1 species